rnacentral:tRNA from 1 species
AAAUAGGUAAGCUAAAUUAAGCUAUUGGGUUCAUACCCCACUUAUAAAGGUUAAUCCCUUUCUUAUUUA